GUUGAUGCUCGAUGUCAAGAUUUUUAUUGAAGAACAAUUGCCUGACGAUCCUGAAAUGACGGUAUCCGUUUCUCUAGAUAUGCAUAUUAUUGUUUGUAAAUAUAAAUUAUAUGAUUGUUUUAAACGUUUAUUUAGUUCAUGCCUUACUGCGAAUAAGCAAACAACCGUGCUUAAGUAGCAAUGCCAACAUUUCAAACUCUGAGUAUAUCUAUUUUGGAGAGGGAUCGAGCAUGAAAAUGUGUUGAUUUUUGCAGCUUAUAUAUGAGGCCUUGAUUCUGUGUUCUAAUAGCAACAAAGAAAUGGAGAUUCUGUGUUCUGCAAAUUUUGUUAUACAGAGUGUCGAUUUCAUUAUGAAUUUGUACAAAAAUAAAAUAGGUAUGUGAUUUGGGUUUUUUGGAAUUUGUUCUUAAUUAUUUAGUAAUUUGAAGUUCUUAUACUUAAUUGUUCAGGAUUUUUGACUAAUUUGAGAUGGGGUUUGCUGCUUCUCAUGCUCCAAUUUUACAUACAGAUAAAGCUACCAGUGUCUAUCUCUCUUUAUAAAGUUUAAUGCAAGAGCGGUGUGUGUUAAGUAAGCUAUAUAAUUUAAUGCAAGAGUGGAGUGUGUUAAGCUAUAUUCUUACCAGUAUCGGUCUCUCUUUAUAUAAUUUAAUGCAAGAGUGGAGUGUGUUAAGCUAUAUUCUUACUGCAUUUAUCACUUCCCAAUCUCUUUUGAGGUCCUCUGAAAUUACAAAGUGGAGUGUUUUAAGCUAUAUUCUUACUGCAUGUAUCACUUUCCCAAUCUCCUUUGAGGUCCUCUAAAAUGGUAAAAAUAAAUUUCUCAUCUUCUUUUUAGUAAUUUUGAUUCUUUGACAGGAAGUUCUUUUAUAGUUGGGAUCAUGAUAAUAUGUUAUGAUUGGCGAGAAGGCGAGAACUCCUGUAUCGUUUGGUAAUUGAAAAUUAAUUCUUACAGCCUACAAAAUUUAUAUGUCAAUAGUUGUGUGUUACCAAAUAGAAUCAAAUUCAAAAGGUGUAGGUACAGUAAAGUAUGCCUACAAAAAUUAGCACCAAGAGUUGCUUGCUUAGGAAGUAGACAAACGAGUAUAUCACUUUAAGGUUUCGAUCCAGGUAGCAACCAUGUCUCUAAGAACAAACGGGGCGAAGUAGGUACAAAGUUUCUGCCGAUACCGAUAAAGGGCGGCAAAGGAGGGAGGACAACAUAGUUGAGAUCCGAAAGAACAAAAGAGAAGAGAGGUUGCUUAAGAUGCGUCGCGAAGGCCUUCAAGCUAACUAAUUAAAUAAUUUCUCCACUGCCUCUGCUUCUCAGCUCGAAAAGAUGGUAUACAUCUAUGUUAUUUUUUUUAUGAAUUUUUUUUAGUUGAUUGAAGGAAUGAUGACUUCAAUCGCAAAUUUUCAUUCCUGAGCUAUUCAGUUAGUUGGCGGUAAAAUCCCCAAUAACAAUGCUUUGUGAGAAGUGUAAGUACCUAUACUCUUUCGUAAUGAUUCUUACAUACAGUAUAUGUUUAAUCAUAUGAUAUUUAUGUUCUAGGAGGCAUAUAUUAUAAUUAAGAUCGAAUUUGAAAGCUAGGGUUUUGAAUUGAGUUGAGUUUAACAGGUGAGAAGAAGUUGUCGAAGGUGAUAGUACCGGAUAAGUGGAAAGAAGGUGCCAACAACGCCACCGAAGGUGGUGGCCGCAAGAUCAACGAGAACAAACUCCUCUCCAUAAAAAACAAGUUUCUCCUUCUCCUUUUCCUUAUCUACAUACGUUUUUCUAUUUGGGCUUAUUUGUUUUUAUAUACAAUUUACAUUGGUUUAAUUGAUGUUGUGUGCUAGAAGUUUACUAACAGGAGUUUUUGAGACCUAGAUUUUAGAUUGAAACCUAAAUUUGCAACCAAGACACAGAUCUAUAUGACUUAAACUGACAGUUGUUAUAAUGUUUGAAUACUGUAAUAUACUACAUUCAUUCCAAAAUAUUAGAUCACUUGGACUUUGUUUUUGCAAGUGGAGUUGUAUUUUGGGAACGGAUGGAGUAUAUGUGAAGCACGAAUACUUAUAUAGAAGGUAGACAUGCUCAUGUUGCACAUGUGUUGGUCCACAAAAAAGUUGGUCAUUAUCUCUCCUAUUUCACUCAAUUCCACUUACGACCUUCACAUAUAUGGGUAAUUGUUCAUCAAACUUUCGAUUACUUUUAAUGCUUUUUUAUGAUUUCUAUUUGUUCUUUGAAAUUAAGAUGUGGGUAUUUAGAAUUUAUCCUUUUAUGCCUAAUAUAGGUCUAAUUAUUUGGAUUUUGCUUUUAACUUAUGGGGCUUUGUAGUUUUUGCUUCCCCAAUUGUGAAAUUUAUUUAUUUUAAUAUUUUUUUUUCUCUAGGGUUCUUCACUCCAUCCCUCUCCUUCGUCCUUUCUUUUGAUUUGUCAUAGAAUUCUGUAUUUAUAAAAAUAUUUAAAUUUUGAUACUAUUAUUGUAAUUUAGGACUAUAUCCCAGCAGUCUUCGAUAAUUUUAGUGCAAAUGUGGUAAUUGAAGGCACUACUGUCAACUUAGGCCUCUGGAACACAGCUGGUAAUAUUUUCACAAUUAGAAUCUUUUGACUAUUUUCUUAAAUAAGCAUGAUUAUUUCAUAAAUUUGGAUUCAAAGGAAAGCAACUUUCUUAAUUUGGGAAGUUUUAUUUAUGGAUGUAUUGAUUUUCUAUCUAAUUCGCAGGGCAAGAAUAUUACAACAGAUUAAGGCCAUUAAGCUAGAGGCACUGAUGUUUUUUUUCCUGACUUUUUCAUUAGUUAGUCGUGCAAGCUAUGAAAAAAAUUCUUAAACAGGUGCAUUACAUUAUCAGCUUCACAUACCAAUUUAAUUACUGUUUUGGUGGGGUUAUUACUAUCUAUUUUGAUCUCUGAUUGACACUUUCUUCCAUGGGCUUCUCUUUACUUUGCUCUAAACAAAUUUCAAUGCACUUCAUUUGUUUGAGAAAAAGCCUAGCUCAAUUUUGUUACUGUAAUUUAUUUUUUUAGUUGUAGUUGUAGUGAUGAUUUUGUUAAACAAUGUCAAAAAGUUUUAUUCAAAGAAAUUUGUGUAGAAACUUAUGGAACCAAAUGGUUUGCUUUACACACGUUUAGAUAUUGAUGAUUUCUACGAUGGUGAAUUUUAUCGUGUAUAGUACAUCUGCACAAGCAUUUAGCCAUUAGAUAGUACAUUAUAUACUGGAAAAGAAGACCUCAGUUCAUACAUGUUUUGUGUUGACUAUCCCAUAAAUUGAUUAGAAAGUUUUGAAGGGCAUAAUUAAUUUACAUGAAUUGUUUACUUCGAAUUUGUUUUUUUAUAUGAAUGUUGAACAAAUUAUUAAAUACAUUAUUUAAAUUAGCCCGUGCAUACCAACUAGUAUAUAUAAGAUUAAAUCUAAUUUACUUUUUCUCGCAGUUAAUUUGGAAACUUUUAAAAUUCUCAAAAGCAAAGGGGGAGAGAAAGGUUACAACGGAAUCAAUUAUUUGGUUUUCCGUUCUGUUUCUAGUCAGGUAUCGGAUCUUGAUCAGUAAUAGUAGGAGCUCUCAGAAAUGGAAGGUUUCGAGGUAAGUCUAGUAAAAACUACUUUAUUAAGAAUUGUUACUAAUUGCAAAAAUGUUAUUUUUAAAAAAUAAAUUUAUGCAAGAAUUUAAUUUUUAAUUUUAACAAAUUAACUAUGAUCAUUUUUAUUAAUUAGACGGAGAGACCUGAUUUUUAAGGAAUUAAUAGCCAUUUGAGAAUAAUGAUAUCAUAAAAGAUAUUAUUAUCCUUAAUUUCACAUAUUUGGAGUUAAAAAAUUACACCUCAAUAUAUAAGUAUAUAUACUUUCCUUUUUCUCAAUGUCAUGUCAGUUUUUUAAUAAGGUGAUAGCUUUGAGGACUAAACUAAUACUCUAAAAAAUAGUGUAGGGAGAUUUUUUUUAAAAAAACAUACAAGGAUUAAAAUAGAGUACAAAGUUCAAAUGUGUUGUUUUACACGUACAAGAUAUAUAUCUAACCACCAUAAUGAUGACAUUAUAUUUAAGAUUAUAUUUUGUGGGGUCACUCGAUCCCACUGAAAAAAAAUUUGCUUUAUAAUAUAAGGUAAAUUUAAUUUUUUUAAAAUAUUAUAUAUAAAUUGACCCCACUAAAAUUUUAUAAAUUUUCUAUUAUACAGGGUCAAAUGAAAAUUUAUAACUUUGUCAAUCAAAUUUUAAUCAUAUAUGACUCAUAUCCUUUCAAUAUAUGUAUCUCUCUAUAAUAUUUUAAACUAAAUAAUAAUCUAAUUUAUAUUAUUUUUAAAAAUAAAUAAUAAAUUACUUAUGAACAGUUGUGAUUAAAAAAGUCUAUUAUGAGUCAAUAUAGUGUAUAUAUACCAUAUAUUAUUACUCAUUAUACUUUCAUUAUAAUAUAAUAUAUAUAUAUAUAUAUACCCAAAAGUAUAAAGUAUUAAAAAAAAUUGUCUCGGAGGCGCUGCCCCCGAACCCUCGCCAAUUUUUUUUAUAAUUUAGUAAUAAUUUCGACCUCACUAAUAAAAACUUCUGGCUUCGCCACUGAUUAUAACCAAAAAAUUGAAACCCUAACAUUAGCUUUUAAUUAGAAGUUGAUACAUAAUGUUUGUGACAAAGUACUUAAAACAGUCGACGGUAUUGGCAAGGAGACCUCACAUUUCCCCGGAAGAGCCUUCGCGCGCUGAACUAACCCGUUUCAGCUUCUGGGAUGCAUUUUUUAUGCAGUUACAAGCCUUCUGUUUGUCAACAGUAGUAGUUGCAGCAGAUUAAGGGGUGUUUGAUAAAAAUCGAAUGAAUCUGAAUCUGUAUCUGAAUGAGCUGAAUCUGAAUCUGAAUGAAAAAAAUUAUUUUAUAAUUGACAUGUCUGAAACAUCUGAAUAACAGAUUUUUAUUAUUUUAUCCCUCUGAAAAAAUUUAAAAUUGUUAUAAAUUUAUUUAAUAUUACUUAAUAUAAUAUAAUAGUUAAUAUUGUCAAAAAAAAAAAUCAUUCAGUCGUCAAUUAGUCCAUUCAAAAAAAAUGGGACUUAGCCAUUCGGUCCAAAUUGUCUAAAUAGCUGAUCGAUUCAAUCAUUCAGACAAUUUUUUUCCCGAAAUAAACGCACUGAAUGGCUGAAUCGGUCAGUCGUUCAGCCAUUCAGUGCUAAUCAAACAGCCCGAAAUAGCUGAGACUCCAGCGCAAGAGAGAGUUGUUGGCUUGCCACUGCCGAUUUGCAAGUAAAAACAUGGCCUCAGGUUAUUACUUACAUUGCUGCAUGUAACUGCAGCAUAUGAAGAAGGCAGGAGAUAGCAGUAGUAGAAGAAGAAGGAUAAGGACAGUAGUCAUGUUGAAAGGGAUAUAUGGCUUUAUUGAAAGAUUUCAUGGUGUAGGGGAAUUAAAAAGUGGGCAGAAAAGAAAGUAAAAAGAGUAAGUUGAUGUGUUGUAUUAUGUUUAUGUUUUGUGCUGGUUAUAGGAGAUUUUGGGACGCUCACUACUGCAAGAAAUUUAGCUAAAAGAUUUGUGUGUAAAUAUACGGUAUUUAGAUCCGCCCUCUGUCUCUUUCUCGAUCUUAUUCACCGUCUAAUUAAUGUAUUGAUGUCACGUAAUACUUAUUCAUUUAAAAAAUUAAUCGUAUAUAAAUAAAUAAUUUAUAUUACACUUGACAACAAUAUAUAAUAUGAUACAAGAGAUGAGACAGAGAACGUGAGAGAAGAUUUAGACUUAUAUACACACAUUGAGUAGUACCUUAUUCUGAGAGAUAUAUGAAUAAGCUAUAUCCUUAAUAUAUUUAUAUUUUUAAUAAGUUCUUAUAUUCUGCAUGAAGAGUAGUAUAUACGCACUUUUUCAAAUAAUUUACGAAGUCAAAAUUUAUUUGGUGGAAUUUAUAAGGUUUUUGCACACAAUUAAUCUAUAUUAAGUGGAUGUAAAUUCACUACAAGAAAAAGAGUCAUUGAUGACGGGUUUAUUGGCGACGGCAUAUGUCCUGUCGCUAAUGACCUUAAUCUAAUUGUUUUUGCACACAAUUAAUAUUGGUUUUUUCAGUUAAUCCUGAACAUGUUCAAUUCUACUAUUUGAUUUCUGGUUCAGGCACAUGCAACAAUCAGGUACAUACAAACAGAUUUUUCAUUCAUAUUCCAAAGGAAAGGGUGCUCCAAUUUCAAACAAACACAACUGUAAUAUUGCAAUAUUAAUAACCUCACUGGUUUUCCACCUGAAAAGUGAAAAUACAUUAAUUUGAUACAAAACAAGAUGUGACAACUCUAGAUCAUGCAUGCAUAUAGCUCAAAUGAUCCAUAAACCAAAUAUUACUAGAAAAAUUAAUAUUACAUGCAUGGGUACAUCCCAAAUAUUAUUGAAACAUGAUAUAGGACAAGCUUUUCCCUUCAGAUCAUGCUGCUUCAGAUUUAGGUAAUCCUGCAAACAAAAGGUGACCAAAACAAGAAAAACAAAAGGUUAAUUAAUUUAAAACACGGGGCAUGACAUAUUCUAUAAAUUAAUAGAAAAGAAAAUGUGUUGACUUUUGUUGUGAGUACAGUCUCCAAAUUAAUAUAGUUACAUGGGUAAUUGAUUAAUUGCCUCUAUUGUAUACUGACAACCAAUUAUUUUAUCAGACUCAGAUCGGUUAUCGAAUCGAAAAAUUUAUUGGGUAGUCUAUCAUUGUUUCAACUGGUGGAACCAUUAUCGUACCCGGCGAUGUCAUAAAUACAUUAAAAAUGUACUAUUAAUAAUUAAUAAAAUUUUAAAACAUUGUUUUUUCGAUAUAGUAAUAUUAUAUAAUGAAGUUGUGUUGGAAUAUGACUAAACAUGUUUGAUCUCACAAUAAAAAAAAAAAAAANNNNNNNNNNNNNNNNNNNNNNNNNNNNNNNNNNNNNNNNNNNNNNNNNNNNNNNNNNNNNNNNNNNNNNNNNNNNNNNNNNNNNNNNNNNNNNNNNNNNGAAGAAAGUGUCGAUACUCCGGCGCAACACGGAAUUGGUGGCUUACCGCUGCCACUCUGGAGGUAGCUAACACAAGGCCUAAGAUCCUUAAUAACAUCACUGCAUGUAAUUGCAGCGUUUGAAGAUAAUGGAGCUAGAAUUAGAAGAAGAAGAAGAAGAAGUAGAAUAGGCAUGGCGAAAGGGAUUGCUUGACUGAAAGAUUUCAUGAUUUAGGGAAGAAUUAAAGAAGUGAAAGCUGAUUAAGAGUAAGUUGAUCAUGUGUUGGCUUAUUUUUGGUCGGGGUUUUAUAUAUAUAUAGGAGAUUUAGGGAAGUCUACUAGUGCAAGAAAGUUAGAGCACAUGUUUGAUUUAAGAGGUGGAGUGCAAGAAAAGAGAGAUGUUUGUUUUAUUUUGUGAUUAUUUUA
rnacentral:lncRNA from 1 species